rnacentral:lncRNA from 1 species
UGCUCUAAUUGAUAGAUUUUUUGUUUUAUAGGUGAAAAUAGAAAAUUAGGUGUUCAUGAAGGAAAGUGGAUCAAAAAGAAAGAAAAAGUUGCAAUUAAGGAGAUAUAAUCAAAUUCGAAGAAGAAAUCCCGCAACAGUUUUAGUAGUGUCGACUAUUGCGAUCAUAUCUCUCUUAUCCGAACACAAAUCACUUGAUUCUAACGGCAUUGGAAUGCUAACUGGAAGGGCUACAUUUUUUAUCUCACGCAAGUUUUCAAAAUUCAGAC